rnacentral:rRNA from 1 species
AUACGGAGGAUGCGAGCGUUAUCCGGAUUCAUUGGGUUUAAAGGGUGCGUAGGCGGACCGAUAAGUCAGUGGUGAAAACCUGCAGCUUAACUGUAGAACUGCCAUUGAUACUGUCAGUCUUGAGUAUGGUCAAGGUAGGCGGAAUGUGUAAUGUAGCGGUGAAAUGCUUAGAUAUUACAAAGAACACCGAUUGCGAAGGCAGCUUGCUGGGCCAUUACGGACGCUGAUGCACGAAAGCGUGGGGAGCAAACAGGAUUAGAUACCCUGGUAGUCCACGCCGUAAACGAUGACCACUCGCUGUUGGCGAUAUACAGUCAGCGGCUAAGCAAAAGCAUUAAGUGAUCCACCUGGGGAGUACGGCCGCAAGGCUGAAACUCAAAGGAAUUGACGGGG